rnacentral:rRNA from 1 species
GGAUGAGUGGAGGGUGCAAGCGUUAUCCGGAUUUACUGGGUUUAAAGGGUGCGUAGGCGGACUUAUAAGUCAGUGGUGAAAGCUCGGAGCUUAACUCCGGAACUGCCAUUGAUACUGUUAGUCUUGAAUUUGGUAGAGGUAGGCGGAAUGUAACAUGUAGCGGUGAAAUGCAUAGAUAUGUUACAGAACACCGAUUGCGAAGGCAGCUUGCUAUGCCAAUAUUGACGCUGAGGCACGAAAGCGUGGGUAG